CACACAGCACCGCGUAGGUAUUAGACACGCGUUACAACUGACGGUACUCGAUUCCGACAUACGGAGACCGAGUUAUCGCCUAGUUUGCGAAACUGAACAACACUUAGCCAAAAAGCCGAAAAAGAGCCCAAAACCCGCAUCGUCCGUCCGAACGCCACGCAAACACACACACAGCACCGCGUAGGUAUUAGGCACGCGUUACAACUGACGGUACUCGAUUCCGACAUACGGAGACCGAGUUAUCG
rnacentral:lncRNA from 1 species